rnacentral:rRNA from 1 species
CCGGACUCCUACGGGAGGCAGCAGUGGGGGAUAUUGCACAAUGGGGGGAAACCCUGAUGCAGCGACGCCGCGUGAGUGAAGAAGUAAUUCGUUAUGUAAAGCUCUAUCAGCAGGGAAGAAAAUGACGGUACCUGAGUAAGAAGCCCCGGCUAACUACGUGCCAGCAGCCGCGGUAAUACGUAGGGGGCAAGCGUUAUCCGGAUUUACUGGGUGUAAAGGGAGCGUAGACGGGGAAGCAAGUCUGAAGUGAAAGCCCGUGGCUUAACCACGGGACUGCUUUGGAAACUGUUUGACUAGAGUGCUGGAGAGGUAAGUGGAAUUCCUAGUGUAGCGGUGAAAUGCGUAGAUAUUAGGAGGAACACCAGUGGCGAAGGCGGCUUACUGGACAGUAACUGACGUUGAGGCUCGAAAGCGUGGGGAGCAAACAGGAUUAGAUACCCCGGUA